rnacentral:tRNA from 1 species
GGCGCUAUAGCCAAGUGGUUACGGCGACAGAUUAGAAUGAAUAUCAUGUAAUCUGUUCCUCUUUGAGGGCGCAGGUUCGAGUCCUGCUGGCGUCG